rnacentral:rRNA from 1 species
UUUUCCAAGUCAGGAGUGAAAGCCCAGGGCUCAACCCUGGAAUUGCUCUUGAAACUGGAAGACUUGAAUUCGGGAGAGGAUAGCGGAAUUCUCAGUGUAGCAGUGAAAUGCGUAGAUAUUGAGAGGAACACCAGUGGCGUAAGCGGCUAUCUGGACCGACAUUGACGCUGAGGCACGAAAGCGUGGGGAUCAAACAGGAUUAGAUACCCUGGUAGUCCACGCCGUAAACGAUGUGUGCUUGUCGCUGGGAAGCUUAGCUUUUCGGUGACGCAGCUAACGCGUUAAGCACACCGCCUGGGAAGUACGGCCGCAAGGUUAAAACUCAAAGGAAUUGACGGGGACCCGCACAAGCGGUGGAGUAUGUGGUUUAAUUCGUCGCAACGCGAAGAACCUUACCAGGCCUUGACAUGCCCUCUAUGGGCUCCAGAGACGGAGCUCUUCACUUCGGGUGGGAGGGACACAGGUGCUGCAUGGCUGUCGUCAGCUCGUGUCGUGAGAUGUUGGGUUAAGUCCCGCAAUGAGCGCAACCCCUUUUGUCAGUUGCCAGCACGUAAUGGUGGGAACUCUGACGAUACUGCCGGUGAUAAGCCGGAGGAAGGCGGGGAUGACGUCAAGUCCUCAUGGCCCUUACGGCCUGGGCUACACACGUACUACAAUGGUGGUGACAAUGGGCAGCGAGGCAGCGAUGCCAAGCGAAUCCCUAAAAGCCACCUCAGUUCAGAUUGCACUCUGCAACUCGAGUGCAUGAAGUUGGAAUCG